GGUUGCAAGUGAAGAUUAUGUAGAAGAUCGGUAGGUAUUCUCCUUGGAGAUUUCAUAUGUUUUAUUAUUUGUCUAGCAGGUGUGUUUUGGUAAAUUGCAUGUUAUCUUUAAUGUCUGUUGUAUUUACUCAAUGAUGGUAGUGGGGAUUACUUACAUUGCUGUUGUCAAUAUGUUAUUAUGCACAUUACGGUUAGAGUUCAGAAAUUACCAUAUUUUUUUCUCUGUCUCCUUUAUAGCUUGAAAUUUUGUGUUUGCGUGUUGG